rnacentral:rRNA from 1 species
GAUGAACGCUAGCUAUAGGCUUAACACAUGCAAGUCGAGGGGAAACGGCAUUAUGUGCUUGCACAUUUUGGACGUCGACCGGCGCACGGGUGAGUAUCGCGUAUCCAACCUGCCCUUUACUUGGGGAUACCCCGUUGAAAGACGGCCUAAUACCCGAUGUAAUUCAUUGAUGGCAUCAGAUAUGAAUAAAAGAUUUAUCGGUAAAGGAUGGGGAUGCGUCUGAUUAGCUUGUUGGUGAGGUAACGGCUCACCAAGGCAACGAUCAGUAGGGGUUCUGAGAGGAAGGUCCCCCACAUUGGAACUGAGACACGGUCCAAACUCCUACGGGAGGCAGCAGUGAGGAAUAUUGGUCAAUGGGCGCAAGCCUGAACCAGCCAAGUAGCGUGCAGGAAGACGGCCCUAUGGGUUGUAAACUGCUUUUAUACGAGAAUAAUUUGAUGCACGUGUGCGUUAUUGCAUGAUCGAUGAAUAAGACC